CCCAGACUCCUACGGGAGGCAGCAGUGGGGAAUAUUGCACAAUGGGGGAAACCCUGAUGCAGCGACGCCGCGUGAGUGAAGAAGUAUUUCGGUAUGUAAAGCUCUAUCAGCAGGGAAGAGAAUGACGGUACCUGAGUAAGAAGCCCCGGCUAACUACGUGCCAGCAGCCGCGGUAAUACGUAGGGGGCAAGCGUUAUCCGGAUUUACUGGGUGUAAAGGGAGCGUAGACGGCGAAGAAAGUCUGAAGUGAAAGCCCGCGGCUCAACCGCGGAACUGCUUUGGAAACUUUUUUGCUGGAGUACCGGAGAGGUAAGCGGAAUUCCUAGUGUAGCGGUGAAAUGCGUAGAUAUUAGGAGGAACACCAGUGGCGAAGGCGGCUUACUGGGCUUUAACUGACGCUCAGGCACGAAAGCAUGGGUAGCAAACAGGAUUAGAUACCCCAGUAG
rnacentral:rRNA from 1 species